UACAGAGGGGGCGAGCGUUAUUCGGAAUUAUUGGGCGUAAAGGGCGCGUAGGCGGCCUUUCAAGUGACGGGUGAAAUCCCUCGGCUUAACCGAGGAACUGCCUGUCAGACUGGAAGGCUUGAGACCGGGAGAGGUGAGUGGAAUUCCCAGUGUAGCGGUGAAAUGCGUAGAUAUUGGGAGGAACACCAGUGGCGAAGGCGGCUCACUGGACCGGUACUGACGCUGAGACGCGAAAGCGUGGGGAGCAAACAGGAUUAGAAACCCGAGUAGUCC
rnacentral:rRNA from 1 species